rnacentral:rRNA from 1 species
UUCAGGGACAGAUUGAACACAUCACAUCUCAUCUGGUUGUGAAUGUUAAGCAGUUUCAUGCUUGGUGAGUGCUUGGGUGGGAAAUUACCUGGGACAUAUCAGUUCUGUAG